UACAGAGGUCUCAACCGUUGUUCGGAUUCAUUGGGCGUAAAGGGUGCGUAGGCGGUCGCGCAAGUCGGAUGUGAAAUCUCAGGGCUCAACCCUGAAACUGCAUUCGAUACUGCGUGGCUAGAGUGCUGGAGGGGAGACUGGAAUUUACGGUGUAGCAGUGAAAUGCGUAGAUAUCGUAAGGAAGACCGGUGGCGAAGGCGGCGACCUGGGUAGAUACUGACGCUGAGGCGCGAAAGCGUGGGGAGCAAACAGG
rnacentral:rRNA from 1 species